ACAACGGCGGCUUUUCGGGCCGCAGGUCUUGGAAAAAAGCCAAGCAGGAACU
rnacentral:tRNA from 1 species